GCGGAGGGAUCAUUAAAGAGUUUAAUAAAACUCCUAAACCCCUGUGAACUCACUAUGUUGGAUUCUCGCCAGAGAUAGUCUGGUUUCUGCUUCGCGGAUCGCCUGCCCGUGACACCUGUCACAGGUAGGUAUGCUUCUGCCGCGGGUCCGCAGGUAAAUCGUCUGUUUCACAAGGGACGGCGAUUUUACCUGUGGAAGAGGUCCGCUAACUAUAUUCUUAGUAUAGUUUGUUCACUAGAUCAAACAUUCUGAAUAAAAACUUAAACUAGUUAAAACUUUCAACAACGGAUCUCUUGGUUCUGGCAUCGAUGAAGAACGCAGCGAAAUGCGAUAAGUAAUGUGAAUUGCAGAAUUCAGUGAAUCAUCGAAUCUUUGAACGCACAUUGCGCCCAUUAGUAUUCUAGUGGGCAUGCCUGUUCGAGCGUCAUUUCAACCCUUAAGCCUCUGUUGCUUAGCGUUGGGAGCCUACAGCCUGCUGUAGCUCCUUAAAGGUAGUGGCGGAGUCGGUUCACACUCUAGACGUAGUAAAAUCUUUAUCUCGCCUAUAGAUGAGCCGGCGCCUUGCCGUAAAACCCCUAAUCUUUCACAAGGUUGACCUCGGAUCAGGUAGGAAUACCCGCUGAACUUAAGCAUAUCAAUAAGCGGAGGAAAAGAAACCAACAGGGAUUGCCCUAGUAACGGCGAGUGAAGCGGCAACAGCUCAAAUUUGAAAUCUGGCCUUCGGGUCCGAGUUGUAAUUUGCAGAGGAUGCUUUGGGCGCGGUGCCUUCCGAGUUCCCUGGAACGGGACGCCUUAGAGGGUGAGAGCCCCGUACGGUUGGACACCAAGCCUCUGUAAAGCUCCUUCGACGAGUCGAGUAGUUUGGGAAUGCUGCUCUAAAUGGGAGGUAAAUUUCUUCUAAAGCUAAAUAUUGGCCAGAGACCGAUAGCGCACAAGUAGAGUGAUCGAAAGAUGAAAAGCACUUUGAAAAGAGGGUUAAAUAGCACGUGAAAUUGUUGAAAGGGAAGCGUUUGCGACCAGACCUUUUCUCAGCGGAUCAUCCGGUGUUCUCACCGGUGCACUUCGCUGGGUUGAGGCCAGCAUCGGUUUCCGCAGGGGGAUAAAAGCCUGGGGAACGUAGCUCCCUCGGGAGUGUUAUAGCCCCUCGCAUAAUACCCUUGCGGGGACCGAGGACCGCGCUCGGCAAGGA
rnacentral:rRNA from 1 species